UACGUAGGGGGCGAGCGUUGUCCGGAUUUAUUGGGCGUAAAGAGCGUGUAGGCGGUUCGGUAAGUCUGUCGUGAAAAUCCUGAGGCUCAACCUCGGGCGUGCGAUGGAUACUGCCGGGCUAGAGGGUGGUAGAGGCGAGUGGAAUUCCCGGUGUAGCGGUGAAAUGCGCAGAUAUCGGGAGGAACACCAGUAGCGAAGGCGGCUCGCUGGGCCACACCUGACGCUGAGACGCGGAAGCUAGGGGAGCGAACAGG
rnacentral:rRNA from 1 species